rnacentral:lncRNA from 1 species
CUCAAAUUCAGCUGCAGAUAGCUGCUUAGAGUACUUUGCUGAGAUUUUCAAGGCCACAUCUAGGGUCUGCAGGAAGGAGAGUUGCAACCACCUAUCUACAUCUUCCUGGGAUCAACUAGCAGUGUCUCUAUGGACAGCAAACCUAGGAGAGGAGAGGAUCCAGGCUAUGUUUGCUGACCCCUUUCUUCAUAAUACAGCAGUAUUUUAUUUAUUUAUUUAUUUGCUUGUAUAUGUAUGUGUGUAUGUGCACACAUGUAUGUGGUUCUGGGAAUUGAAUCCAGGGCCUCUUACAUGCUAAGCAAGUGCUCUACCACUCAGCUACAUGUGUAACCCCAGCAGUGUUUUGUUUUUAGUUGUAGAUGGACACAAUACUUUAUUUGUUUAUUUAGUUUUAUGUGGUGCGGGGGAUUGAACCCAGAGCCUCACAUAUGCUAGGCAAGCGCUCUACCACUGAGCUACAACCCCAGUUUAUUUUGUCUCAUGGUUUUAGAGGUUCAGUCCAUGGUCAGUUGACUCCAUAGCUCUGGGCCCACAGUGAGGCAGUGGCCCAAGGGCAUGGUGGAGGAAAGCAGUUCAGGACAUGACAGGAAGCAGAAGCUUUGCUCACCAGGGACAAAAUAUAAACCCCCAAAGGCAUGCCCCCAGUGACCCAUUUCCUCCACUCACACUUUACCUGCCUAUAGUUACUACCCAAUUAAUCCACAUCAGUUUAGGUUAAGGGAUUUAUAGUAAUCAUCUCCUCUGAACAUCUUGCUAUCUCACACAUGAGCUUUUCAGGGAUACCACAUAUUCAACCCAUAAAACUGAGGUUUAGGUCUGGUGGGAAGGCAAUGAGAAACUGAUGUGACUCCAUUUUUGAGAAACCAGCUUCUACCUCAAGGCCUGUCCAGAGGGAGGGGGCGUGACCUUUGUCCUAGGAAAAACCCACAGAGCUCUCCUAGGCACAUACCCACCCUGCUGAGUUAUUUAACUGGAGAGAUCUGCAGCACCAGGUGACCCUGACUCAGUUACCCUAGUUGAGGACCCACAGCAACCCCCUAGCAACCACCAAUCAGCAUGAGACAGGGAAAAUAUCUGAAAUGCCAGGUGACCCCCCCAGUAGUUUCGGUGAUUGGUAACAUGAUUAGGCAACCCUGCAAGUUUAGCAUACACACUCUUGCAACCCCUCGUGGCUUAAACCAAUCAGUUCAAAUGUAUCCACCUCUAGAACUAACCAAUCACCCUUACCCAACUUGUUCCUACCAGUGAAUGUGCUAAUCAAUAUUAAGAGUUGUUUAAUUUUCCUGCGGUAUGAAAUGAUUUGCUGUGUGAUGUUGUGAUGCGUAGAGUUUCCCCCAAAACCUAUAAUCCUCACUGAACUGAGGGCCAGGACCCACUCCUAGGGACUGCUGCAUCCAAAACAGUUGUGAAUCUAGGCUUGGGCUUGCAAUAAAGACUCUUGUGUGAUUGCAUCAGAUUCGGCUCCUUGGUGUCUAUUGGGGUCCCACGAAUAUGGCAUUACAGCAAAAAUUCUCAAAGAUAUAUUAAUAAAGACAAGAUUUCCAGAAAGCUAUGCCUUCUAUUGAAAGACCUAAGAAAUCUCAUUCUACUUGGGACCUCAUUUUGCUCUGAAACUUAACCUCUGACCUACUGUAGUCCUAAAGUCAGGAAAAUACUACAGAAAAGCUCUAUGGAAACAGUUCUCGGAAAAGCCGAAGAUGGUGAUCACCUAAGAUAGGCCAAGAUAUCUACAUAUCUGAAAUUCCAGAUGGCCCCCACCUAGGUGUGAUGACCAAUAUCUAAACUAGAAGCCCUGCAGUUUGGCAUGUACCCCCCUUGCACCCCCCUUGCGACAUCCUCACGAUUUAAACCAAUCAAUUUUAAGUGCGUCAACCCCUUGAACUAACCAAUAAUUCUUUCCAGAUUCUUUCCCGCCACUUGAUACACUAAUCAUGUUUUAGAGUUGUUAUUUGAAUUUCCCCCGGUGUGUGGUGAUUUGCUAAGAGAUGCUAUGAUGUAUGUGGGGGUCCCUGCCUUCUCCAAAGAAUGUAUAAAACUACUGCAAAAUCUGGGCUCAGGCCUCUUAGCGUCACCUGUUGCUGUGUGCGAGGAGGACCGAGCUAGCUCGCAAUAAACACCUCUUUGCUGCUUACAUCGAUCUUGGUCUCUGGUG